UGGGGAAUAUUGGACAAUGGGCGAAAGCCUGAUCCAGCCAUGCCGCGUGUGUGAAGAAGGUCUUCGGAUUGUAAAGCACUUUAAGUUGGGAGGAAGGGCAGUAACCUAAUACGUUUCUGUCUUGACGUUACCGACAGAAUAAGCACCGGCUAACUCUGUGCCAGCAGCCGCGGUAAUACAGAGGGUGCAAGCGUUAAUCGGAAUUACUGGGCGUAAAGCGCGCGUAGGUGGUUUGUUAAGUUGGAUGUGAAAGCCCCGGGCUCAACCUGGGAACUGCAUCCAAAACUGGCAAGCUAGAGUACGGUAGAGGGUGGUGGAAUUUCCUGUGUAGCGGUGAAAUGCGUAGAUAUAGGAAGGAACACCAGUGGCGAAGGCGACCACCUGGACUGAUACUGACACUGGGGUGCGAAAGCGUGGGAGCAAACAGGAUUAGAUACCCACGUAGUCCCUGAGCGGGCUGGCAAGGCGCAU
rnacentral:rRNA from 1 species